rnacentral:rRNA from 1 species
CCUACGGGAGGCAGCAGUGGGGAAUAUUGCACAAUGGGGGAAACCCUGAUGCAGCGACGCCGCGUGAGUGAAGAAGUCAUUCGUUAUGUAAAGCUCUAUCAGCAGGGAAGAAAAUGACGGUACCUGAGUAAGAAGCCCCGGCUAACUACGUGCCAGCAGCCGCGGUAAUACGUAGGGGGCAAGCGUUAUCCGGAUUUACUGGGUGUAAAGGGAGCGUAGACGGCGAUGCAAGUCUGAAGUGAAAUGCCUGUGCUCAACCCUGGAACUGCUUUGGAAACUGUAUAGCUGGAGGGCAGGAGAGGUAAGUGGAAUUUCUAGUGUAGCGGUGAAAUGCGUAGAUAUUAGGAGGAACACCAGGGGCGAAGGCGGCUUACUGGACUGUAACUGACGUUGAGGCUCGAAAGCGUGGGGAGCAAACAGGAUUAGAUACCCCAGUAGUC